GCCGUGUUUCCACAUCGUAAACCGAUUGCCGCUGCGGUGCGGUGCGGUGCGGUGCGGUGGUUGUCUCUGCUCCAUCUCCGACCGAUUGCGCCGCUCAACAUCGGACGUUUUGGAAGACCGUCAGAUUUGAAGCGUUCUUUCAUUUUAGUGAGGAGAUUUCGUUGUUUGUUGGCACAUCUUACUUAGAGUUACUUUGGGCAAGAUCAAUGGAUGAAUCUUUGGGUUGGGUUCUGGUGAUUGAGGACUUCGUUGAAAGGGUCUGUUCCCGGAUGAGUCUUUUUUCUUUCUUCAAAAGGUCACAACUUCAGUCUCAAAUGAGACAAGAAUCGAGGGUACAGCCUGUUCUUCUUGAUUCUAACAUGGAGGGUACACCCGUCACGAACAUGUCUUUAACACCCUUAUUCGACCACUGGAUUUGCUAUUCAUGCAUCAGGUUUGAUAAUUUUGAGAAAUCAUUUAGACAUCUGGUUGUCCAUGAAUGGUACAUCUCAUUUUUGUUAAGUGUUGAUUCAGAUGGAUGUAAAAUUAAUGUUGUUUAUUUAUUAUUUAUUUCUGCAUUGAUAGUAAAUCUAAUGGUUCAUAGAAUCCAACUGUUUAAUCAGGGUGGCAUGGGUGAUUUAAGUUUACGAUGGUGGUGCAGAACCCCCUUGUAACCCCAAGCAUUGUUUUUAUCAAUGUGACCCAUAAAAGAUUAUUACCAAAGAUGUAUAUGUUCAAUACCUAGGCAGUCUGAGGAUCUUCUAGCUGAUUAGCUUUUGUAUAAACUGUUGAGCACUAGAUAUUGUUUUGUCCAAUUCAGAGUUCUCUUAGCUUGGAAAAAAGAUCUGUUCGAGUUAUUUCUGUUUUCUUGUGAAUAAAUAGAGUCCUUGAUUAAGGACUACUGUUAUAAUUUCUUGCAGAGUACAAUCUUAUGCCAAGCCGGUCAAUGUGGCCAUUCGGUACAGAUUGGCAUAGUGCAUUCUGAUGUAUACUUGUGUGAUGAUACGUUUCGACCCAUGUUGACACAUGGUAGUUGUCAUGAUCAGCAGGAUAGUGCUUAACAAUAUUUCCAGUUGCCCAAGAGAUGAGUGUUGAAAGGAUUAUGACAAGAUCAGAAGUUCUCAUUUGCAGCUUCUAGUACAAUACUAGCACAGGAUACUUACCUUGUGGCAAGUACAUUGAAGUUCCACCUUUGGUUUCUGGAUUCCCACAAUGCCACUGGUGUUUAUAAAAAGGAAAAGAAGAAACUAUUCCUUGAUGAUUUUGCUUCAAGUUUUCUGCUACUGAUUCUUCACCACCAAACUUGAGUGAUGUCUGGUCUGCUUGGUCUUCCAACUGUUUAGCUUGUUUCCUACUCAUGAUUGUGUAAUAUUUCCUGUACAUUUAAAUCUUUCGAGAUUUGAGUCCAUUAGCAGCAUAAGCCUGAAAAAGUUGCAAGUUCUGACUCCAUUAGCAGCAGUAGAUAAUUAGGUCACAAAUUCUGAGCACUUCCCACACAAAACGUUUCUAGUCUUCAGGUGUUCAUCCUUCAUUUUCGAGAGCAAGGGUCUGAUAAUUCAAGGACUUUCUCAAUGGAAUUUAGUGAUGAAGAAGCUUCCUUCUUUGCUUUAACUGCAAGAUUUGAUUCUCAGAGGAAAAUGUGGGAUUGUAAAUACGUGGCAAAAUUUGGGUGUAUCAUAGGGUUGCUAUAUAUCCAUCCUUUAGCAUAUCUUUUCUUUGGAAUUAUUUGGUUGGCCUUGGUCAAUGCCCAAAGUUGUAAGAUUCUAGUUUCUCAUAAUAUAGUUUCAUGAGUUUUACAGUA